rnacentral:rRNA from 1 species
UACGUAGGGUGCGAGCGUUAAUCGGAAUUACUGGGCGUAAAGCGUGCGCAGGCGGCUUUGUAAGACGGAUGUGAAAUCCCUGGGCUUAACCUAGGAACUGCGUUCGUGACUGCAAAGCUAGAGUGCGGCAGAGGGGGGUGGAAUUCCUGGUGUAGCAGUGAAAUGCGUAGAUAUCAGGAGGAACACCGAUGGCGAAGGCAGCCCCCUGGGUUGACACUGACGAUCAUGCACGAAAGAGUGGGGAGCAAACAGG